CCCUUAGAUGUCCUGGGCUGCACGCGCGCUACACUGGAAGUUACGGAUUGAGAUACUACCUUGUCCGAAAUGGUCCGGGUAAUCACCUAAAAGCUUGUCAUAAUUGGAAUGGAUUAUUGUAACUAGUAAUCCUGAACGAGGAAUUCCUAGUAAGUCCCAGUCAACAGCUGGUACUGAUUACGUCCCUGCCCUUUGUACACACCGCCCGUCGCUACUACUGAUUGGACGUUUAAGCAAGAUUUUUAAACACUGACAGUGUGUAGUUCACGCUAUACUACAGUGAGAAGAAGAAGAUCGGGCUUACUUGUCUAGAGGAAGUAAAAGUCGUAACA
rnacentral:rRNA from 1 species